CCUUUGUGGAGCAUCUGGCCCUAACUCGAUCGUAUUGAUUUGUUGGACUGGCGAAGUGUGCGCGAUGUUAGGCGCAUUUCGGCAAGUCACUUGGUGUGCAGGGUUUUAAGCUUUUGUGUUGGGAUAUUUGUCAUCCAACACCAAAUGAAACAGGCAGGUGAUGGCGGCAGAGUUUGAGUUUGUGCCGCCACCGGAGGCCCCGGUGUUCCGGCCCACUGAGGAGGAGUUUGCUGACCCCCUGGCCUACAUCAACAAGAUCCGGCCGAUAGCUGAGCAGACAGGGAUCGCUCGCAUCAUCCCUCCACCGGAUUGGCAGCCCCAUU
rnacentral:lncRNA from 1 species